ensembl:ncRNA C01F6.13 ncRNA
UUCUCAGUCACUCACUGCUCCCCUCUCUCUCGUUUUCUGCCACUGUUCAAACUUUUUCCACGUGUGUCUGUUUCACGUGGAAGUUUCAAGAACAGUGUUCUCACACACUUCUCUUCUACAACUAUUUCACAUCUUUUUGGCGCAAAUACAAAAGCUUGUCGGACAGAUAGUUGUCGGUCUGCGGCGCCGAUGUGGAGAGUUGCCAGCAUUUUCGAAAAAAUGCCGAAGUGAUAAGAGAUUGUGUCCUCUUUUCACUC